UACGUAGGGGCAAGCGUUAUCCGGAUUUACUGGGUGUAAAGGGUGCGUAGCCGGAAAUAAAAGUCAGAUGUGAAAGCCCGAGGCUCAACUUCGGGACUGCAUUUGAAACUCUAUUUCUAGAGUGCAGGAGAGGAAAGUGGAAUUCCUAGUGUAGCGGUGAAAUGCGUAGAUAUUAGGAGGAACACCAGUGGCGAAGGCGACUUUCUGGACUGUAACUGACGGUGAGGCACGAAAGCGUGGGGAGCAAACAGG
rnacentral:rRNA from 1 species